UGAACGCUGGCGGCGUGCCUAAUACAUGCAAGUCGAGCGAACAGACGAGGAGCUUGCUCCUCUGACGUUAGCGGCGGACGGGUGAGUAACACGUGGAUAACCUACCUAUAAGACUGGGAUAACUUCGGGAAACCGGAGCUAAUACCGGAUAAUAUAUUGAACCGCAUGGGUCAAUAGUGAAAGACGGGUUUGCUGUCACUUAUAGAUGGAUCCGCGCCGCAUUAGCUAGUUGGUAAGGUAACGGCUUACCAAGGCGACGAUGCGUAGCCGACCUGAGAGGGUGAUCGGCCACACUGGAACUGAGACACGGUCCAGACUCCUACGGGAGGCAGCAGUAGGGAAUCUUCCGCAAUGGGCGAAAGCCUGACGGAGCAACGCCGCGUGAGUGAUGAAGGUCUUCGGAUCGUAAAACUCUGUUAUUAGGGAAGAACAAAUGUGUAAGUAACUAUGCACGUCUUGACGGUACCUAAUCAGAAAGCCACGGCUAACUACGU
rnacentral:rRNA from 1 species